CUCAGUACAUGGAUAGCUGGCUGCUUUUGCCAUCUGAGAGGCUGUACUCCCUUUUACGCCUCGUAGGUAAGUUCUGCAGCUUCCCUGGUCCUUGGUUUCCUCGUCUGUGACAUGAGGGAGGGAAAGAGAGGGAACAAAAGCUCCCACCUCACAGGACCACUGUGUGGUGAGGCUUUGGGGUUUGCAUGAUGCCGGGCACACAUCCUAAGUGCCCAGGGAUUGUUGGCUGCUGUCGCUGUUACUAUUAUUAUCUUUAUUCUCACUGAUAAGUCAAGUGGUAAAUAGAGUGACCAACUGCCCCAGUUUGCUUAGGACUGUUCUGGUUUUAAAACUAAAAGUCCCACAUCUCAGGAAACCCCUCAGACCUCAGUAAACUGGGGCUGUUGGUCGCCCUACUGAUAAGGGGCUUAUCAAUAAAUCCAGGCCCUUAAUGUCAGCUCAGCCUGCAUUUGAAUUAGCCCUGCCACUUCCCAGCGGUGUGACCUUGAGCAGGCUAUUUAGGCUCUCUGUGCCUCAGUUUUCCACUUGUAAAACGUGGGGUGAUUAUAGUAGCUACCUUAAGGGUUGUAGUGAAGUUUAAAUGAGUGUAAAGUUUGGUGAAAUAGCUUUAUUCAAAUUCUCCAGAGUCCCACAUGGACAGGAGAGAAGCUGAGACUGUUUUGAAGCUCCUUAGGCUCUCCCCUCCGCCACAGCUGGCCCACAAGUCAGGCUGGCUCUGUCCUCUACCACAUCAAAGUCCCCCAAGGCCCCCUUUAUGGCAGGGGUCUGCUGGCCCCUGGCGCAGAGGCAGAUUAGAGUGAGAUCCUAUCUGGAUGGGUGGAGGUGCCCAGCCAGGGAGAGGUACUGGUGGCCACUGAUAAGCAGGGCCCUUGUGCCCGCAGCCCCUGCCCCCUCACCCAGGAGAACACGGGUACUUUCUUCUUGGGUUUCAACCCAGCUGGCCCCUCUGCCCUGUUGUGGGGGGACAGAGGCCCGCUUGCCUGCAGGACAACCUCUCUGUACCCCAUUUUCCACCUAUCUAAAAUGGGGCUGGAAAACCCUUACCCAUGGGGUACACAGGAAGCCAAGGCCCCUCCAGUCUUUGGCUGUAUUAUUAACAAAAUGCAUGUAGGAUAAGACUGGGGCCCCAGAGGGUGGCUUUUGAAAUACUUAAGUUUGAACCAGCUAACGCUUUUAGCACAUGCAGUCUCCAGGGUGAUAGACCGCGCUGCUCGGGGCAGGGCCACAGGGUUUAUAGGAGUUGCUCUUCGUUUUAGGAUGCCACUGACAGUGUGCUUGGGUGGACACAGGCUUAGAGGGAUGUUUCGAACGUUUUCCUCUUCCAGGCCUGUCUGCAUGUCCUUGUGGUGGGCAGUGGGGAUCUCACUUGGGGACUGUGAGGGGCUUCCAUGCAGCAAGCUCCUGCCACCCUCAACCAAGUGUAUAUGAGAGUCUUGAGAAUUAAAUGAAAGAAAAUGUGUGGGCACUCAAGAAAUGAUAGCUGUUAUAUUUUAAAUUAAAAUGCUAUUUAUUCAGGGCCAGGUGGGGUGGCUCAUGCCUGUAAUUUCAGCACUCUGGGAGGCUGAGGUGGGCGGAUCACUUGAUCAGGAGUUCAAGACCAGUCUGGCCAACGUGGUGAAACCCCGUCUCUACUAAAAAUACAAAAAUUAGCUGUGGGUGGUGGCGCGUGCCUGUAAUCUCAGCUAUUCAGGAGAAUUGCUUGAACUCGGGAGGUGGAGGUUUCAGUGAGCCGAGAUCUCGCCAUUGCACUGGAGCCUAGGCGACAGAGCGAGACUCUGUCUCAAAAAGAAAAAAGUUAUUUAAUUCAUAUUUAGAGAUUUAAGUCAGGGUCUUGCAUAGAUCUGAAGCGAUUCCAAUUUAAUCCCAGCAGGAGGGUCAGAUACACAGUUCCUUCUAAAUUUAGUCAGGUGAAUAUAACACCAGGAGAUGAAUUUUGUUGAGCACCUACUGCAUGCCAAAGCUCCUCCACGUGUGCUCCAGGGACUUGGCAGUAUCACCGUGGGAGCUUGGGCUCACCUCACAUCCACCGCAGCAGAAUCUGCUUUUGACAAGGCCCCCAGCUGAUUGACAGGUACACUUCAGUUUGCAAGCGCAUGGGCUGGGAGGUGGGAAAGGACUUGUCAGAGUUUAAGUGCAGCGGGGAGGCUGGUGCUGGUGUGGAGGGAGGGAAGGCUGAGGAGGGUAAUGGGACAGAGCAUGCAGGGCCUUCCAGGAAGAGGUGAGGAGCAGGGAUUUCCUCCCAGUGUGGCAGCCUGCCGGGGAGGGCUUUAAGCAGAGCAGAAGAGUGGUCUGAUGGAUGAUUUAAAAAGGACCCUUAGGUGUGGGUAUGGAGGCUGGACCGUAGGAGCAGCAAGAUUGGUUAGGUAGCUGCCUCAGUGUCCAGUGAGGGAUGGUGGUGGCUUGGACCAGGAGGUGGAUGGAGAUAGAGCUGGGUUGGACUUGAAUUGGUAGUGGAGGAAUGUGGGUGAUAAAGUUUUUCAGUGGAGGAGGGGAAACUAGACCUUGACCCAUACAACCUGGAAGGCUUCCUGGAGGAGGUGGAGACUUUCAGGAUAGAUGCGGCAGACUUGAGGACAUUCCAGAGGUAGGAACCCCAUGGGCAAGGGCAAAAGUGAGUUCAUGCAAAAGGCAGGAGAUUGACUUACGUGACUUCUUCCCAACCCUUAAAGGUUACAGAUGAGCUCAGCGUCGUCCCUGGAAUUGCAAAGCUAGAGAAGAGAUUAAGAGUCAAAGGCUUUGGGCACCCCCUUGAAUGGGGACAAGAAGGCAGCUUAGGGAAAGUCACAGAUCCAGGCUGAGGAAUCUUGAGGGUCUGAGCACUGGCUCUGUCAGGACUGCAGGCCUGUCAUCGACUCUCCUGGGCCUCAGUGUUCUCAGGCAUCAGGUGGGGUUACAGCGGGGUGCAAAGUGGAUGUGCCGCUGGCCGGGAAAGUCGGGACAGAGCUGCCAUUGCAGGCCUGGCGCCCUGUGCCAGGGCCACGAGCAGCUCGCUUUGCCAGACUGUGCUUUCUGGGUGAGAACAGGGUUGUUUGAGGAAGGUGACAAGCGGGGACCGACGGGGGUGUCGUUCUCUUUCUCUCUGGGGAAGAUCAUUGAGAAAGAGCGGGCACACAGGGGCAGUGAACAGAGACAGCGCUGUGGGCCUCUUUUUUGGGGGGAUGGGAGGGGAGAGAGAGCUGGGUCAGCUGUAUGGGCCACUUAAUACCCAUGAACUUGCAAUUAAAUGCGGAAGUGAGAGACAAGAGGGGUGGUAAAAGGGGAUAUUGUUCCCAGCUCCUGAGAGGAGGGGGCUGGAGCCCUGGGGAAAUGGCCAGCCUCCAACAUGAAUGGGCUUCAGUGUCCUGGGGGGGGUCUGGGGGGAGCAGGGGGCCGUCAUUUGGCCCUUUGUCCUGCUCUGCUGGACU
rnacentral:lncRNA from 1 species